rnacentral:rRNA from 1 species
AUACGGAGGGUGCAAGCGUUACUGGGAAUCACUGGGCGUAAAGCGCGCGCAGGCGGCUAUUUAAGUUGGAUGUGAAAGCCUACGGCUCAACCGUAGAACUGCAUCCAAAACUAUUUAGCUAGAGUGUGGGAGAGGAAGAUGGAAUUAGUUGUGUAGGGGUAAAAUCCGUAGAGAUAACUAGGAAUACCAAAAGCGAAGGCAAUCUUCUGGAACACUACUGACGCUGAGGCGCGAAAGCGUGGGGAGCAAACGGGAUUAGAAACCCUUGUAGUCC